rnacentral:rRNA from 1 species
GACGAACGCUGGCGGCGUGCUUAACACAUGCCAGUCGAACGGAAAGGCCCUGCUUUUGUGGGGUGCUCGAGUGGCGAACGGGUGAGUAACACGUGAGUAACCUGCCCUUGACUUUGGGAUAACUUCAGGAAACUGGGGCUAAUACCGGAUAGGAGCUCCUGCUGCAUGGUGGGGGUUGGAAAGUUUCGGCGGUUGGGGAUGGACUCGCGGCUUAUCAGCUUGUUGGUGGGGUAGUGGCUUACCAAGGCUUUGACGGGUAGCCGGCCUGAGAGGGUGACCGGCGACAAUGGGACUGAGAUACGGCCCAGACUCCAACGGGAGGCAGCAGUGGGGAAUAUUGCACAAUGGGCGGAAGCCUGAUGCAGCAACGCCGCGUGCGGGAUGACGGCCUUCGGGUUGUAAACCGCUUUCGCCUGUGACGAAGCGUGAGUGACGGUAAUGGGUAAAGAAGCACCGGCUAACUACGUG